rnacentral:lncRNA from 1 species
AAUACAGGAGUGUUUAUGGUUGGGUUGAGACACAUUCAGUAGCUGAGUGAUUGACAGCAAGAGGAGCAAGACAUGAGGAGCUGGUGACACAGUUAUUAUGGAAGGAUAACUGAUAGUCUUAAGUUAAUAAUUAUCAAAUAUAUGGCAAUGCUGGACUUUAGCUGAUCAUCGUGCUUCUGGAAAACAACAAAAAUUGAGAUAUCUGUUCACCACUUUGUGUGUCCAAGGACCACCU